ensembl:lncRNA
CUAUCAACAUAAAAGGGGAUAUAUCUUAGCAAAGGAGCAUGACCCACCAGGAUCCACGCGAUCAAAGAAUGCUUUCUCCAAUAAGACUUAGAGUGGAGAAGUGACACAGCCGAUUUAUGUUGAAAAGGAACACUCUGAUUACCACGUUGUAUGAGGGCCAGGAUGGAAGCAGGGGCCAGUUGGGUGCCAUCUCAGUGAGACAUCAAGAGGUGAUGGUGGCUGACACCAGGGUGCCAGCAACAGGGUAUCAACAGAUAGCUGGUGUCAACCCAGAAACUGCCUGACUUCCUGAUGCACGCAGUUGCCUGAAAUUCACGGACCAUCAAAUUCACCCAGGUCACAUUUCAGUUGCACAUCAAAAGUGUUACUGACCUUUCUGAGUCCGUCCUCGAUGAAGGUUCUCCUGACUGGUCCCAUAUGAGCCUAUUGAAUGAGACCAAGAUUUGUUCAGAACAAAGGAAAGCUGUGUUUUUCAGUGAAAGAAUGGACAGGGGCAAGCUCGCCCCCUGGAGUACCCUUUCUCCCUGGCAGGCUGUGGGCCAGGCUGCUUUAUGGAGUUCAAGUGUUGGGCGGGGCGAUGGGGCGGAGCUCCGGCAGCGCAGGGGCAGUUUGCCAGCAGUGUCUGCACACAGCCCGCUGCCGCCACGGCCAUCUUGAAUUGCAGUGUUGAGCGCAGAGCUUCUGCAUACGGUCCCAAGCUAAGAAGCAGGCACAGCUCUUUGGCGUUGGGGACUCUUGUCUGAAGUACCUGGUGGAAGGCCUCUUCACGCAGUAUCCUGUGGUCAAGUGAAACUACAGGAAGCACGAAAAAAAAAAAAAGGAAGCUGGUGCUGGGAUCCCGAGUCAGGCAGUAACAGCAUCAACAACAUCACUGAUAACUAUAUCUGCUGCUGCUGCUACUAUUACUACUACUACUGACUGAGUAUUGCCAUGGAGGCCAGGUUCUGCCAAUGGGCCCCUCAGAGUAGCAGAACCUUGUAUCUCUGACUCUCCAGUGCCUGCAUCACCCUGCACAGCGAGCCUUCGACUGUUUCUAUAAAGUAGGACGGUGUCUCCGGUAACUACAUGUCUUGGGCAGGCCUGAGAUUCCCAGAGUUAAUCAACCCUCUGAGGACCCCAGCCUGGCCGCUCCCCAGGCCUGGGUGGAGAAGCCUGGCUCUGGGCCUGAGUUCCCUGCAAGGUACUGGAGCUGGUGUUUAUAAACCUGUCCCUUCAGUACUUGGAAGACAUCCCAUACUUGUCUGGGAGAAUCCUGGACACCUCAUCUCUCAGAGGACAUCUGCAAAGCAACUUCCACUUUACUGAAGAUUCUUUAAGCAGUUUACUCAUCCUGGAUAUUUAGAGGCAUUUAAAGAGUGAAGGAGGAGAAAGAUAUAAGCCUCCAGACACUGAUGAGACACUUUCCAUACCUUGACAGCUAUAGAUUAGAAU